AGCGAACGCUGGCGGCAUGCCUAACACAUGCAAGUCGCACGGGGGGGCUUCGGCCUCCCAGUGGCGGACGGGUGAGGAACGCGUAGGGACCUGUCGAGGGGUGGGGGAUAACCGCGGGAAACUGCGGCUAAUACCGCGUGACGCCGCGGCGUGACAGCCGGGGCCAAAGGCGAAAGCCGCCCGCCGAGGGGCCUGCGUCCGAUUAGCUGGUUGGCGGGGUAGCGGCCCACCAAGGCGUCGAUCGGUAGCUGGUCUGAGAGGGUGAUCAGCCACACCGGGACUGAGACACGGCCCGGACUCCUACGGGAAGCAGCAGUGGGGAAUAUUGGACAAUGGGCGCAAGCCUGAUCCAGCAAUGCCGCGUGGGUGAAGAAGGUCUUCGGAUUGUAAAGCCCUUUCGGCGGGGACGAUGGUGACGGUACCCGGAGAAGAAGCCCCGGCUAACUUCGUG
rnacentral:rRNA from 1 species